ACCAGUCCACUCAGUCCAGGCCCGGUGAGGCGAGUACGGAUAGUCAUAAAAAAACAACAACUUGUAAAGGUCAAAAUUCAAGGUCUGCUGCUCAUUACUAAGAAAUAGCACCAGAAACCCUCCUCGUUUGCAUAAAACAUUUCGUGCUGAGACCUGCAACGUCCUGAAAACAAAGGCAAGUUUAACCUCCAGGCAAACAUCAAGAAGGGAAAACUGCCUCCAAAGCACACGUGAUUUUCUUGAGGGAUACACACAUAAAGGACUCUACUGUGCAAUAAUGGCACAAGUCACUGCUGGCCUGACUCCCACUGUAGCAGAAGAACAUGGGGCACAAGAAUAGCGUCACUUGGGAAUCUGCAUUUACAAUUGCCCAUUUUCACUCCUUUCUCCUUCAGUUCCCUGGGAACAUGGGACCCUGCCCCUUGGCUACUGCCCUUUUGACACAUGUACCCCUUUGCCUACUAUUUGCACAUCCUGAUGAAUUCUUUCCCAAUCAUAUUCAUCUACAUGUAUUGCUUUUACUUAUCAGUCUAGUUUAGGAUGGUCUUUUCCCAUCCUUGGUUACUCUCUUCUUUCUGUGGUGCUGCUGCUCCCUUCAUAUAGGGAGGAAUUUUCGGGGGAGGAAAGCUCUUUUCUGUGCACUUUCUGAUUCUCAGAGCACAGCAAAAGACCUGGAGAGACUGAUGUCUCUUCUAGCCUUCCAUUUGCUUUAAAAUUCAUUCCUUUUCCUCUGCAAAGGCCAAUGAGUUGUUGCCUCUCAACUAAAUGUAUCUGUAGCAGCUCACUGGCCUUCUAGUCUGUGGACAUAUACGCCGUACAGAAGAGAAACCAGGAUCAGACACUGCAUGCUUCUCUCUCACCUUUUCCCUUUCUUGGACCCAAGAUUUUCCAUGCUGAUUAGCUGCCAACUGCAUUCUUGCAUUCCCUAAGCCCCUCAAGGAACUUGGCCUUUUGUUUGCAUGAAUGGAUGACAGCCCGACGCCUCAAGAAAGCCAUGGAGGAUGAAGAGCAGAACAGCAGAAACCAUUCUUGUGGACAAAUCUGUGAAAGACUGGCAUGAAAUAGGGCUGAUUCAGCUUCACAGUACAUUGGUCAAGGCCAAAUUCUGCCUACUCACAUCCAUGCAAGUUUGUGGGAUACAUGAAAUUCUGCAGAAUGCUCUGCUUCAGUGAGACACAGGAUAUAAAUAUCUUGGUUUAGGACUAGCAAGACAGACAGACAGAUAGAGGGUUUGCACUUCGUUUCAGUGCUGCAACAUGAACUUCCCCAAGGAGCCAGUCUGAGCCUUGAAAAGUUGGCCACUGCACUGAAAGAUAAAACAGUAAGAACUAACAAGGCUUGUAAUGAUUUGACUGAACCUAGAUGAGAAUUUAAGUGCUAUUUUCCUGUGAGCCCAUCUGCAGGGGACUGCUGGCAUGCAGGAUAUCCACUUUGGCCCAUCAGCACUACAGUUCUGAGGCUGUCUAGCCCACAUUCACUUAUUGGUUAGCUCCUCUAUUUCUAAACCCAAGAAAGUGCCAACUCAACUCUACCUCCAAUUCUCAGAAAUGUCAGCUAAAGAAGACUCAGAGAAUAUUAAAUUAAAAGUGAAAUGGAAAAAGAACAGAGCAAAGAAAGAAGUUUGUUGUUGCAAAUAGCUACAAUACAAAGAAAGCUUGAUUUUUUAUGUUUCUGUUGUAAAAACUGCAUGUGAAAAUGUACACACUUCAAGAUUAAAAUGGAUUAUGAUGGUAUAUAAGACUAAAAAUUAGGUCGUACUUAUGACAGAGUGACUUAUGUUGCCAAUUGUCUGCCACUAAGUCCAGAGCAAUACUUGCACAGUCAUAAGGAAAAGCAAUGGAAAUAUGGAUAUCAUGUGAAACUCACCAUGCAGGAGUACUGAGUCCACCAGUUCAAGUUUAUUCACUUGCAGCCCCAUCAUUCAGUAAAACUGUAUGUCCCAACCAGAGUCUCCCCUGAAUUCUUCUUUUCUACAGCUUUACAUUGUGAUUGCUAAUUACCACUACUGCCCUACAUAGCAUAUAGUUAAAACUAUCCUGAUGCUACACCAUAAGCAAGGGUAGAUAGAAUCGUGAUUGAACACUGACAACCACGAUAAUCCAGCAGAAAAGGGGAGAUUUUUAAUGGCACGACUGCCAGGCAGAUGUUUAAUUCCCUCUCA